CGCAGCGCGGUAAUUCCNGCUCCAAUAGCGUAUAUUAAAGUUGUUGCAGUUAANAGCUCGUAGUUGAAUUUGGGGUCAGUAGGCUGGUCGUGCAACAGGUAUGUACUGGUCUUACUGAUUCCUCCUUCCUGAUGAACCGUAAUGCCAUUAAUUUGGUGUUGCGGGGAAUCUGGACUGUUACUCUGAAAAAAUUAGAGUGUUUAAAGCAGGUAACGCUUGAAUACAUUMGCAUGGAAUAAUGAAAUAGGACGAUCGAUCCUAUUUUGUUGGUUUCUAGGAUUGACGUAAUGAUUAAUAGGGAUAGUUGGGGGCAUUAGUAUUCAAUUGUCAGAGGUGAAAUUCUUGGAUUUAUUGAAGACUMACUACUGCGAAAGCAUUUGCCAAGGAUGUUUUCAUUAAUCAAGAACGAAAGUUAGGGGAUCGAAGACGAUCAGAUACCGUCGUAGUCUUAACCAUAAACUAUGCCGACUAGGGAUCGGAUGAUGUUAAUUUUUUAAUGACUCA
rnacentral:rRNA from 1 species